UACGAAGGGGGCUAGCGUUGUUCGGAAUUACUGGGCGUAAAGCGCGCGCAGGCGGUUCUUCAAGUCAGUGGUGAAAGCCCGGAGCUCAACUCCGGAACUGCCAUUGAAACUGUUGGACUUGAGUACGAGAGAGGUGAGUGGAAUUCCCAGCGUAGAGGUGAAAUUCGUAGAUAUUGGGAAGAACACCGGUGGCGAAGGCGGCUCACUGGCUCGUAACUGACGCUCAGGCGCGACAGCGUGGGGAUCAAACAGG
rnacentral:rRNA from 1 species